AAUCAAUUCAGCCGAGUGGUCUAAGGCGCUGCGUUUAGGUCCGUUCUAAACAUCCUCCGCAGUCAGUAAUGGCGUGGGUUCGAAUCCCACUCUGCUCA